UACGGGAGGCAGCAGUGGGGAAUAUUGGACAAUGGGCGAAAGCCUGAUCCAGCCAUGCCGCGUGUGUGAAGAAGGUCUUCGGAUUGUAAAGCACUUUAAGUUGGGAGGAAGGGCAGUUACCUAAUACGUGAUUGUUUUGACGUUACCGACAGAAUAAGCACCGGCUAACUCUGUGCCAGCAGCCGCGGUAAUA
rnacentral:rRNA from 1 species